rnacentral:rRNA from 1 species
UACAGAGGGUGCAAACGUUGCUCGGAAUUAUUGGGCGUAAAGCGCGUGUAGGCGGCUUGUUAAGUUGGUUGUGAAAACCCAUGGCUCAACCAUGGAAGGGCGUCCAAAACUGGCAAGCUAGAGUCCCGACGAGGAUGGCGGAAUUCCCAGUGUAGAGGUGAAAUUCGUAGAUAUUGGGAGGAACACCGGUGGCGAAGGCGGGUCUCUGGGCCGAUACUGACGCUGAGGAGCGAAAGCGUGGGGAGCGAACAGG